rnacentral:rRNA from 1 species
UACAGAGGUCCCGAGCGUUGUUCGGAUUCAUUGGGCGUAAAGGGUGCGUAGGCGGUCUUCUAAGUUUGAUGUGAAAUCCCGGGGCUCAACCCUGGAAUGGCAUUGAAUACUGGAGGACUAGAGUACCGGAGAGGAAACUGGAAUUUACGGUGUAGCAGUGAAAAUGCGUAGAGAUCGUAAGGAAGACCAGUGGCGAAGGCGAGUUUCUGGACGGUAACUGACGCUGAGGCACGAAAGGCCAGGGGAGCAAAACGGGG